UACUCGCGUGCCAGGGGCGGGGGGAAUUGGGGGGGGUGAAGGGUUGUUGGGAUUGCCGGGACGGAAAGGGUGCGUAGGCGGCAACGGCAAAGUGAUUGGGAAAUGGCCGGGCUUAACCCGGAACGGUCAGGCGAUACUGCAGGGCUAGAGUGCAGAAGGGGCAACCGGAAUUCUCGGUGUAGCGGUGAAAUGCGUAGAUAUCGAGAGGAACACCUGCGGCGAAGGCGGGUUGCUGGGCUGACACUGACGCUGACAGCGCGAAAGCUAGGGGAGCGAACGGGAUUAGAUACCCGGGUAGUC
rnacentral:rRNA from 1 species